GCUCGCAUGAAGAUCUUAUAAAUGGCUGAUCUGCACCUCUCUUCAAAUCUCUCGGACUCUUCCAAAACUAAAGAAAAAAUAUAGAGAAAAAUAUGGUGAUAGAAGGCAAAAGGAGAACUCUCUUUUCUCUUUGGUUUCCCUUCAUCCGGAACCCUAGAUCUGAUCUAGGUUUCUCACCCAAGAGAAGAUAGAUCUCCUCUAAUCUCACAUGC
rnacentral:lncRNA from 1 species